UCCUACGGGAGGCAGCAGUGGGGAAUAUUGCACAAUGGGGGAAACCCUGAUGCAGCCAUGCCGCGUGUGUGAAGAAGGCCUUCGGGUUGUAAAGCACUUUCAGUAGGGAGGAAGGUAGUGUAGUUAACACCUGCACUAUUUGACGUUACCUACAGAAGAAGCACCGGCUAACUCCGUGCCAGCAGCCGCGGUAAUACGGAGGGUGCGAGCGUUAAUCGGAAUUACUGGGUGUAAAGCGCAUGCAGGCGGCCUGUUAAGUCAGAUGUGAAAGCCCGGGGCUUAACCUCGGAAUUGCAUUUGAAACUGGCAGGCUAGAGUCUUGUAGAGGGGGGUAGAAUUUCAGGUGUAGCGGUGAAAUGCGUAGAGAUCUGAAGGAAUACCAGUGGCGAAGGCGGCCCCCUGGACAAAGACUGACGCUCAGAUGCGAAAGCGUGGGGAGCAAACAGGAUUAGAUACCCUGGUAGUCCACGCCGUAAACGAUGUCUACUUGGAGGUUGUGGCCUUGAGCCGUGGCCUUCGGAGCUAACGCGUUAAGUAGACCGCCUGGGGAGUACGGUCGCAAGAUUAAAACUCAAAUGAAUUGACGGA
rnacentral:rRNA from 1 species